rnacentral:lncRNA from 1 species
UCACUAAUUGAGAAAAUGCCUUGCAGCUGGAUCUCAUGGGGGCAUUUCCUCAAGGGAGGCUCCUUUCUCUGUGAGAACUCCUGCUUGUGUCAAGUUGACACACAAAACCAGCCAGCACAGAGAGAGAGAUGGAUUGGCAGACAAGUCCUCUUAUACACAGCUCACACCUGUCUCAGGUUGUGAUGUGAGCAGUUGCUGGGUGCCUGAGGGCCGGCCCCUCUCCUGUUGACUGUGUAGAUUGCCGAUUGUGGAGAGACUCAACAAUGCAUAUGCAGAGGUCUUCCUGAAACAAGCAUUAUACACACAUGGCCUCAUUGUUCUUUCUUCUUUAGAAAUUUAAGAUCCGCAUUGAAGACCCGCCUCGCAGGAAGCACAUGGUGUUCUUGGGUGGCGCAGUCCUAGCAGACAUCAUGAAAGACAAAGACAACUUCUGGAUGACCAGACAAGAGUACCAAGAAAAGGGUGUCCGUGUGCUGGAGAAACUCGGUGUGACUGUUCGAUAAAAUAGCAGGCUUGUCCCCAUCACGCCUCUAAUGCUUUUUCUUUUUCCCUUUUAAAAAAAAAAAAAAAAAAAUUCUUUAAUGCCAAUCUUUAAACUCAUUCAACUCCAGGACUGAAG